UACUUGUACCUGGUGGCGAGCGGCGGACGGGUGAGUAAUGCCUAGGAAUCUGCCUGGUAGUGGGGGAUAACGCUCGGAAACGGACGCUAAUACCGCAUACGUCCUACGGGAGAAAGCAGGGGACCUUCGGGCCUUGCGCUAUCAGAUGAGCCUAGGUCGGAUUAGCUAGUUGGUGAGGUAAUGGCUCACCAAGGCGACGAUCCGUAACUGGUCUGAGAGGAUGAUCAGUCACACUGGAACUGAGACACGGUCCAGACUCCUACGGGAGGCAGCAGUGGGGAAUAUUGGACAAUGGGCGAAAGCCUGAUCCAGCCAUGCCGCGUGUGUGAAGAAGGUCUUCGGAUUGUAAAGCACUUUAAGUUGGGAGGAAGGGCAGUUACCUAAUACGUAAUUGUUUUGACGUUACCGACAGAAUAAGCACCGGCUAACUCUGUGCCAGCAGCCGCGGUAAUACAGAGGGUGCAAGCGUUAAUCGGAAUUACUGGGCGUAAAGCGCGCGUAGGUGGUUCGUUAAGUUGGAUGUGAAAU
rnacentral:rRNA from 1 species